UCACGGCCCGGUUCAAGUAAUCCAGGAUAGGCUGGUGCCAGGCCCGUGGCCUAUUCUCGAUUACUUGUCUCGGGACGUGG
rfam:Alligator mississippiensis ScZkoYb_505, whole genome shotgun sequence.